rnacentral:lncRNA from 1 species
AUGCUGCUGGCCAUGGUUUGCCCAGCAGGUCUCCGGUGCCCAGAAGGACAGGCUGUCGCUCCAGAGGCCAAUGCAAACUCCUGCCCGAGGGGCUUCUACUGUCCCCAAGGAGAUGCUGGCUCAGAUGCGAAGCCUUGCCCCAAUGGGACCUAUGGCAGACAGAAGGGACUCAGCAGUGCUGAAGAAUGCUCACUGUGCCCUGCAGGGAAGUACUGCUACAGAGCUGGGACUGAGCCUUCAGGAAUUCCCUACCCUACUGGAGAUUGUCCACUUGGCUACAACUGCCCUCCUGGAACUGGAUUCCCUUUCUCCUUCCCCUGCACCCCUGGAUUCUUCUGGGAUAAUUCCAGUGCAGAGGAUGAAGACAGGUGCAAACCGUGUCCAGCUGGGAGCUACUGUGACUCUGUUGCCUUGACAGAGCCCAAAGCUUGCCCCAUAGGCUUUUACUGUGGUGAAGGCAGCUCUAAACCUGAGCCCUGCCCAGAGGGAACCUACAGUAACAAAAAGGGACUGUCUGGACCAUCAGAGUGCAGCCCAUGUGGCCGUGGUUUCUACUGUGCUACUCCAGGGCAGAGUGGGCCAAGUGGUCCCUGCAAGGCUGGGUUCUACUGCCAGGGCAGGGCUUUUACUGCAUUGCCUACAGAUGGUGUGACAGGAGAUGUGUGUCCUGCAGGGGCAUAUUGCCCACCUGGCUCCCCUUUACCCAUCCCCUGUCCUCCAGGAACCUACAGCAAUGUGAGUGGGCUCAGAAGCCUUGGUCAGUGCUUGGACUGCCCGCCUGGCCUUUAUUGUGAUGGGACAAAUACCCAAGCUCCCUCGGGACCUUGUGAGCCUGGAUACUACUGUACAGGUGGUGCCAAAAGUGCUCUUCAGCAUGUGGUCAUGGAAGGGCGUUAUUCCUCAGCAGGAGCUUUCAAGCCAGAGCUGUGUCCUCUUGGCAGCUUCCAGCCUGACCGUGGUCAGUCUCAUUGCAGGGACUGUCCAGAGGGAACGUUCUGCAAUGAGAUGGGCUUGGCUGAAGCCCAGCCUUGUCCAAAAGGGCAUUUUUGCUUGGGUGGAAGUUCUCUGCCUCUCCCUUGUCCAGUGGGAAUGUAUACGGAUGUGCUUGGGGCAGGUACUUGCAAGCCCUGCCCAGCAGGCAUGUACUGCAGCAUGGCAGGUCUGACUGAGCCAGAAGGACCUUGCCAGCCUGGCUAUUACUGCAGCCAAGGGUCCAGCAGCUCCUCACCUGUGGGUCUUUCAUUUGGAGAUCUUUGUCCACCGGGAUAUUAUUGCCCUGCUGGCACAGCACACCCAAAAAUGAUGGCCUGCCCUGCUGGCACCUGGAAUGACCAGAGGGGAGCCCAGGAUGUCACUUGGUGUCUUCCUUGUGCCCCUGGCUUCUUCUGCAGUAUGUCUGGCCAAGAUGCUCCCGUAGGACUUUGUGCACAAGGCUACUACUGCACAGGAGGGGCAAAGACUGCAAAGCCGGAGGAUGGUGUCACUGGGGAUAUCUGUCCUCGAGGACAUUUCUGCCCUGCAGGCUCAGCAGCACCUUCUCCCUGCCCCAGUGGCGAAUACAGCAAUGUAACAGGUCAAGACAAAUGUUUUCCAUGUCCUGCUGGGUUCCACUGUCCUAAAGGACUGCGACGCCGUUGCCCUCCUGGCUUCUAUUGCCCUCAGAGAACAGGAAUCAGUUUUUAUCCUUGUCCCCCUGGGACUUUCAACCCUUCUUAUGGACUCAGCCAGGUUGAGAGGUGCCAGAAGUGCCCUGCAGGAAUGUUCUGUGGAGACUGGGGUCUCUCCUCUCCAAGUGGUCCCUGUUGGCCAGGGUUCUUCUGCACAGCAGGUAUGAAAUGUAACGCUCACAAGGGCAAUGGAGAAGUGUAAAAGUAGAAAGCUGUAGUCUUUAGGAACAGUU